GCUAGUUCCAUCGCCUGCCGCCGUAAGAUCAUCGUCGUCGACAUCGUCGAGAGCUUUUGGAUCAACUUCGUCUUUCAGUCGUCGCCGCCAAGGUAUCAACAAUGCCGCCCAAGCCUCUCAAGAAGCCCAAGGCCCAGAAGAAAGAGUACGACGAGACCGAUCUGGAGAACUUGAAGAAGAAGAAGGAGGACGAGAAGGCCGUCAAGGAGCUCAAGGCCAAGGCCGCGCAGAAGGGCCCGCUAGGAGGCGCCGGUCUCAAGAAGAGCGGCAAAAAGUGAUCCUGCUCGUUUUCCAAAACUUAGUUAUCUGUACUUAGAAGCUUCUGAAAAAUGGCCGACGAAUACUACUUUAGAUAGUACUAGUUGAUUUGGUUUCAGUGUUUGGGGUCUCCUUUUUCCUGUACGAAUUGAGUUUUUGACGACACUAAGCUAUAAGUUUGCAUGAGCUAAA